UGGUGGAGUGAUUUGUCUGGUUAAUUCCGAUAACGAACGAGACCUUAACCUGCUAAAUAGCCAGGCCGGCUUUGGCCGGUCGCGGCUUCUUAGAGGGACUGUCGGCGUCUAGCCGACGGAAGUUUGAGGCAAUAACA
rnacentral:rRNA from 1 species